rnacentral:rRNA from 1 species
ACGAACGCUGGCGGCAUGCCUAACCCCUGCCAGUCGAACGAGACCUUCGGGUCUAGUGGCGCCCGGGUGCGUAACGCGUGGGAACCUGCCCUUAGGUUCGGAAUAACUCCCCGAAAGGGGUGCUAAUACCGGAUAAUGUCUUCGGACCAAAGAUUUAUCGCCUUUGGAUGGGCCCGCGUUGGAUUAGCUAGUUGGUAGGGUAAAAGCCUACCAAGGCGACGAUCCAUAGCUGGUCUGAGAGGAUGAUCAGCCACACUGGGACUGAGACACGGCCCAGACUCCUACGGGAGGCAGCAGUGGGGAAUAUUGGACAAUGGGCGAAAGCCUGAUCCAGCAAUGCCGCGUGAGUGAUGAAGGCCUUAGGGUUGUAAAGCUCUUUUACCCGGGAUGAUAAUGACAGUACCGGGAGAAUAAGCUCCGGCUAACUCCGUG